UACGGGAGGCAGCAGUGGGGAAUAUUGCACAAUGGGCGCAAGCCUGAUGCAGCCAUGCCGCGUGUAUGAAAAAGGCCUUCGGGUUGUAAAGUACUUUCAGUCGUGAGGAAGGUGUUAAGGUUAAUAACCUUAGCAAUUGACGUUAGCGACAGAAGAAGCACCGGCUAACUCCGUGCCAGCAGCCGCGGUAAUACGGAGGGUGCGAGCGUUAAUCGGAAUUACUGGGCGUAAAGGGCACGCAGGCGGUUAAUUAAGUUGGAUGUGAAAUCCCCGGGCUUAACCUGGGAAUGGCAUUCAAGACUGGUUAGCUAGAGUCUUGUAGAGGGGGUAGAAUUCCGAUGUGUAGCGGUGAAAUGCGUAGAGAUGUGGAGGAAUACCGGUGGCGAAGGCGGCCCCUGGACAAAGACUGACGCUCAUGUGCGAAAGCGUGGGGAGCAAACGAGGAUUAGAUACC
rnacentral:rRNA from 1 species